GAAAGGAAAAAAGAAUCGAGAAAGGAAAGGAAAAAAGAAACGAAAAAGGAAAAGAAAAAAGAAACGAAAAAGGAAAGGAAAAAAGAAAACGGAAG
rnacentral:rRNA from 12 species